rnacentral:lncRNA from 1 species
ACUGAAAGCUCUUUCGAGCUUUUAUUAGCUGUUUCUUUGCACUGAAGUCUUUUCUUUUGGGGGGGGUUAUCUCUGGAGAGCAAAGCCUAAUUUUUUUUCCUCUUUAAAAAUUCCUUCUUCUCUAAUUUUUGCCCUACAGUUGCCCCCUCUCCCCCAAAUCUCUCAUAAAAGACACAAAACUCUCACUGGACUUAAUCCUCAUUUUGUUUUUCCUCUGAUUAUUACCAAGAGCACAAUUUAUUGGUGUUUUAGAACUAAAACACAGCUUAAUGGUCAUCUGCAAAACAUCUUUUUUACAGUCGAUAAACUUAGGUAGAGAAAUUUAAAAGAGUAGGGAAAAACUAUAUUUACAAAUGCCCACCACAGAUAGACACCAUGUCAGCAAAUUUCAUCCUCACGAGACACAAAUGAGGCAGGAAUUAUUAUCUCCAUUUUACAGAUGAAGAAAACUGAGGCUCCAAACACUUCUCCUAAUUUCCCCUAGGUUUUUCCAUUAGUAAAGGAAUGAGCUAGUUUUCAAGCCUAGAACUGAUUUGUUUUCUUCCGUCCCUCACUUUGUGUUAGGACUUGACCUCAUCAUCUAGGCUAGUGGUCCUGUGACGACAGAAGAGUGUUUAGUUUGUUUCAAAUGUUUUGAAUUUACUCGUGUGGAGCUGCUCUCAAGAGAGAAAUGGCCAACCUGUGCCUUCCCAAACGGAUCAAACAUUUCUUCCUUUUGAACUGCUGACACACUUCUAACAAAACCAAACCUGGAUUCAACAACACAAAGGAAGCCUCUUCAUUACACCUAUGUACAAAUAAGUAGUCAAGUCCUAUUAGCCAAUGGGCACUGUUCUCACAGCCCCACCUACUAGGAGGAGAUCCACGAGGCCCUGGGAAGCUUUGCCCAAGGAACAGAAUCAGGUCCAUCCACGGGGCCACUCUGCAGACACAUCUCACCAGCAAUGCUUCCUUGUUGCCAGGAGCACAAGGAGAGCGUGUUUGCCCACUCCUAUCAUCUGUUCCAGAGGCACAGCAAUUCAGGAUGCCACGGAAGUGACAAGGGGAUAUAAAAAGUAAAACCUUUUGGAGUACAACCUUUCAAAAUUGUGAAUCACUAUGUGGUACACCUUAAAAUUAUAUAAUGGUGUACCUCAACUAUACUUCAAUUUAAAAAAAUAUAAAGAAUAGGAGUUCCCGUCGUGGCUCAGUGGUGAACAAAUCCAACUAGGAACCAUGAGGUUGUGGGUUCGAUCCCUGGCCUUGCUCAAUAGAUAAGAUAUAAACAAACAAACAAAAAACCCCACUUCUUUAUUACUCACUAUUAAACUGCAUUUAAAAGACCAACCAAAAACAGCUCAGAAAUAAGCAAGCAAAAUCUUGCUGUCAUCCGUCUGAAACGGUUACAAAUUACAGGCUAAUCUCAGAAUCUGUGACCUCACCACCCAGCCUCUGAUGAACUGAGUAACUAUUUCCCCAUCAGUGAUACUCAAAGGACAAAAAUUAAAAUUAAAGGGGAGUAGGACACAGUAGGUUGGAAGUAGGAGAGGAUAGGAAAGCAGGAGGGAAAUAAACACAUCUAGCUGAAUUCAGAGGCAGAUUCCAAGCGGCUUUCAGGGAAGGCUGAAGUCAGAAAAGCCGAGAUGUUGUCUCACUGUUGAUUCAUGGUCUUACCUUUGGCUCCUCAGCCUAAAGUCUGAAACCUGUUUGUGGGUCAUAGUAAAGAGAGUUCUAAAACACAAUGUGACAUCCAGGGAGAGCGAAGCCAGACCACACUGCGGGAGCCAGCAGAGCAGAUACUGGGAGGUGAUAAGCAAAAAAAGAGAGGCACUUGUUUUUAUUAACAGAAGCCCUCACCAACUUCCUCAGACUUCCCCAAAUGAAAUGUCAGACGGGCCUGAGGUUGAAUAAAAAUCUACGGUGCCCCUUAGCAGA